CGGGGCGUGGCGCAGUCUGGAAGCGCACCUGAAUGGGGUUCAGGGGGUCGGAGGUUCAAAUCCUCUCGCCCCGACCA
rnacentral:tRNA from 1 species